GCCAUGUCAGUCCCGGACGAAGGCAGCGGUAUGCGCAAGGCGCAUCUCAUGCGCGCGACGGCAGGCCUGGACGAGCUUUGGCACGCUUG
rnacentral:SRP_RNA from 1 species